rnacentral:rRNA from 1 species
GUCCACGCCGUAAACGUUGGGCGCUAGGUGUGGGGUCCCUUCCACGGGUUCCGUGCCGUAGCUAACGCAUUAAGCGCCCCGCCUGGGGAGUACGGCCGCAAGGCUAAAACUCAAAGGAAUUGACGGGGGCCCGCACAAGCGGCGGAGCAUGCUGAUUAAUUCGAUGCGACGCGAAGAACCUUACCUGGGCUUGACAUGCACGGAAAUCCGGCAGAGAUGCCGGGUCCGCAAGGGCUGUGCACAGGUGGUGCAUGGCUGUCGU